rnacentral:rRNA from 1 species
AUUGAACGCUGGCGGCAUGCCUAACACAUGCAAGUCGAACGGUAGCAGGUCCUUCGGGAUGCUGACGAGUGGCGGACGGGUGCGUAACGCGUGGGAAUCUGCCCAAUAGUGGGGGAUAACCCGGGGAAACCCGGGCUAAUACCGCAUACUCCCUACGGGGGAAAGCGGGGGACCGCAAGGCCUCGCGCUAUUGGAUGAGCCCGCGUCCGAUUAGCUUGUUGGCGGGGUAAAAGCCUACCAAGGCGACGAUCGGUAGCUGGUCUGAGAGGACGACCAGCCACACUGGGACUGAGACACGGCCCAGACUCCUACGGGAGGCAGCAGUGGGGAAUAUUGGACAAUGGGGGAAACCCUGAUCCAGCAAUGCCGCGUGUGUGAAGAAGGCCUGCGGGUUGUAAAGCACUUUCGGCAGGAAAGAAAAGCCAUGCGCUAAUACCGCAUGACCUUGACGUUACCUGCAAAAGAAGCACCGGCUAACUCCGUG